rnacentral:rRNA from 1 species
AAGAAGAUCUGACGGUACCAGAGGAAUAAGCCCCGGCUAAUUACGUGCCAGCAGCCGCGGUAAUACGUAAGGGGCAAGCGUUACCCGGAAUUAUUGGGCGUAAAGCGUCCGCAGGCGGUUUAGAAAGUCAGUUAUUAAAUACCGGUGCUCAACAUCGGUGCUGUAAUUGAAACUUCUGAACUAGAGGAUGGUAGAGGCAUGUGGAAUGGUGCAAGUAGGGGUAAAAUCCGUAGAUAUGCAUCGGAACACCAAAAGCGAAGGCAGCAUGCUGGGCCACUCCUGACGCUCAGGGACGAAAGCGUGGGUAGCAAAAGGGAUUAGAUACCCCUGUAGUCCACGCCGUAAACGAUGUGAGCUCGAUGUGGGGAGACUCGACCUUCUCUCCGUGUCUAAGGUAACCCGUUAAGCUCACCGCCUGUGUAGUACGAGCGCAAGCUUAAAACACAAAGGAAUAGACGGGGACCCACACAAGCGGUGGAACAUGGGGUUUAAUUCGUCAAUAAGCGAGUAACCUUACCCAGACUUGACAUCCUAAUCGUAUCUUUGAGAGAUCAUUGAGUCAGUUCGGCUGGAUUAGUGACAGGCGCUGCAUGGUUGUCGUCAGCUCGUGCCUUGAGGUGUUCGGUUAAGUCCGUUAACGAGCGCAACCCUCGUCGUGUGUUGUAUUUUCACGCGAGACUGCCCGGUAUAACCGGGAGGAAGGUGAGGAUGACGUCAAAUCAGCAUGGCCCUUAUGUCUGGGGCUACACCCGUGUUACAAUGGGGCAUACAAACCGAAGCAAUACAGCAAUGUGGAGCCAAUCGGAAAAAAUGUCUCUCAGUUCGGAUUGAGGUCUGCAACUCGACCUCAUGAAGUUGGAAUCGCUAGUAACCGUAUAUCAGUCAUGGUACGGUGAAU